rnacentral:rRNA from 1 species
AUUGAACGCUGGCGGCGGGCCUAACACAUGCAAGUCGGACGGUAGCACAGAGAGCUUGCUCUCGGGUGACGAGUGGCGGACGGGUGAGUAAUGUCUGGGGAUCUGCCCGAUAGAGGGGGAUAACCACUGGAAACGGUGGCUAAUACCGCAUAACGUCGCAAGACCAAAGAGGGGGACCUUCGGGCCUCUCACUAUCGGAUGAACCCAGAUGGGAUUAGCUAGUAGGCGGGGUAACGGCCCACCUAGGCGACGAUCCCUAGCUGGUCUGAGAGGAUGACCAGCCACACUGGAACUGAGACACGUCCAGACUCCUACGGGAGGCAGCAGUGGGGAAUAUUGAACAAUGGGCGCAAGCCUGACGCAGCCAUGCCGCGUGUAUGAAGAAGGCCUUCGGGUUGUAAAGUACUUUCAGCGGAGAGGAAGGCGAUGUGGUUAAUAACCGCAUUGAUUGACGUUACCCGCAGAAGAAGCACCGGCUAACUCCGUGCCAGCAGCCGCCGUAA